GUUUUCAUUAGCCGAUAGUUCUAGAUGUUUGCAGAGCAGACUUUUCCAGAGCGUGUUUUUGAACAACUCAACUUUUACAGUAAAACUUUUGAAUAUAUUACAAUAAAAAUCAAAAGGACUCGAAGGUGCCACAACCAACCGGAGAUGUGGAAACCUUUGCGUUAAGGCUGAGAUCUCAGCUGAUGUCGCUUAUCAUCAACACGUUCUACCCGAACAAAGAAAUAUUCUUGCGUGAAUUGAUCACCAACUCUUCGUAUGCUUUCGACAAAAUUCGUUAUAAAUCGCUCAUCGAACCCUUAAAAUUGGACAGCGACAAGGAGCUGUUGUUUAUCAAGCUCAUUUUUAACAAGGAAGCUGGAACUCUGACUGACAUCGAUACUUGUAUCGGAAUGACCAAAACCGAUCUGGUCAAUAACCUUGGUACGAUCGCCAAGACCGGAACGAAAGCGUUAAUGUAAGCUUUGCAAGCCGGAGCCAACAUGUGGAAGAUUGCUAGCAACUGUUUCCAUUAACAGCAUGCUAUCUUUAAAGAUUAUUAUAAUAAAAUUGACUAUUCGAUA